rnacentral:rRNA from 1 species
AUUGAACGCUGGCGGCAGGCCUAACACAUGCAAGUCGAGCGGAUGAAGGGAGCUUGCUCCUGGAUUCAGCGGCGGACGGGUGAGUAAUGCCUAGGAAUCUGCCUGGUAGUGGGGGAUAACGUCCGGAAACGGGCGCUAAUACCGCAUACGUCCUGAGGGAGAAAGUGGGGGAUCUUCGGACCUCACGCUAUCAGAUGAGCCUAGGUCGGAUUAGCUAGUUGGUGGGGUAAAGGCCUACCAAGGCGACGAUCCGUAACUGGUCUGAGAGGAUGAUCAGUCACACUGGAACUGAGACACGGUCCAGACUCCUACGGGAGGCAGCAGUGGGGAAUAUUGGGCAAUGGGCGAAAGCCUGAUCCAGCCAUGCCGCGUGUGUGAAGAAGGUCUUCGGAUUGUAAAGCACUUUAAGUUGGGAGGAAGGGCAGUAAGUUAAUACCUUGCUGUUUUGACGUUACCAACAGAAUAAGCACCGGCUAACUACGUG